rnacentral:rRNA from 1 species
GAUGAACGCUAGCGGCAGGCCUAACACAUGCAAGUCGAGGGAGGAGCCUUCGGGCUUCGACCGGCGUACGGGUGCGUAACGCGUAUACAAUCUGCCUUUCACAUAGGGAUAGCCCGAAGAAAUUUGGAUUAAUACCUAAUGGUAUAUAGAUGUGGCAUCACCUUUAUAUUAAAGCUGAGGCGGUGAAAGAUGAGUAUGCGUUCUAUUAGCUAGUUGGAGAGGUAACGGCUCCCCAAGGCGACGAUAGAUAGGGGUUCUGAGAGGGAUAUCCCCCACACUGGUACUGAGAUACGGACCAGACUCCUACGGGAGGCAGCAGUGAGGAAUAUUGGACAAUGGUCGGAAGACUGAUCCAGCCAUGCCGCGUGCAGGAAGACGGCCUUAUGGGUUGUAAACUGCUUUUGCAGGGGAAGAAUAAGGAAUACGCGUAGUUUGAUGACGGUACUCUGCGAAUAAGCAGCGGCUAACUCCGUG